CACUACAAUUCAGAGGCAUACUUGGGACACCAAAAGCAUGAGGGUGCUGAGAAGGACCAGGAUCUGCAUAUAUAAACCACGGCCGGACUUCCUUUCAAUCUCUCUCUGGCGACUCUCAGUCGGAGGUGGAUGUUAUUCUAGCCGGAAUUUCUAGGUGGAACUAUACCUCAAAUGACACAAGGGAUCACACUGACUCAAGAUGGAUUCUCUGGAAGAUCACCCCCCCCCCCCCCAUGUUUUCUACAGGGCUGGGAAGGUCUGCCGCCAUGAGCAAAUGGUGUCUGAAGAUGCUGGAGAUUGUCUUUUAGCUCGUCCACACUGAAAAGAGAUGGUGUGACAUUUCCACACCUGCAACCACAAACCUGGAUGCUGACUUCAAGGAUGGAUUAUAAGGGGUCGCACUGACUAAAGAUGGAUGCCCUGAAAGAUCAUUUGACCCCAUGCUUUCUACAGCACUGGGAAGUCUACAACCAGGAGCACAUGGUAUCUGAAGAUGCUGGGGACUGUCUCUUAGCUUGUCCACACUCUGGAAAGAGUUGCUGACACUUCCACAUCUGCAACCACAAACCUGGAUGCUGACUCCAAGGAUGCAUUAUAAUAAAGGUGUGACUGGAGACCCAAUCCGGAGGACAUGUAGACUCAUGAACAGCCUGGUUGGAACGUUUUACUGGACUUUGAAGGGGAAUGGCAUGGAGUCAUCCAGAAGUAAAGCUCGGACAGUCGCUCCUGUCAUGACCCGUCUUGUUGUCAGAGGCUAUUCCACUGAACUGUUCUCUACUUUGACAUGAACUUGUUUUUGAAGAUUUUUCAAAUAAAUGUUUGACAAAGAA